UGCAAGUUCAAAAGCUCCUGCUCCCUGGACCACAGACAACAUAUCAAAUCUAGAGCAAGAAAAAUUUUUAGCAAGAUUUUGUAACAAAACAGUGAAAAGACAAGAAUUAAUUCUCAAUCCCUUACUGACAGCAAAAGAAAAUUACAAAUUCAAAAAACACAUAACUUGCUGUAAAUACUUUUAGAGCAUGUUUAGUAGUUGUUGCAGAUAUUUCAUUGAAGAAUGAGGAUCACAUAUCAAUUUCAAAGUCAUCAAUGUAUUUCCUUACAAAAGUACAAUAAGUAUGUAUACCAAAAUUGAAAGCUCAGUCAUCAUACACAUAAAUUUUAUUUAUUAAAUUCAUCCAACAUACAUCAAUGUUAAAUUUUUAAAUUAUGGGACUCAAAAUAUUCAUUAAGACAAUUUAUAAAUCCAUGAUUAUAAAACCAAAAGUACAUGCUGUAUAGAAUACCACAAAAUCAUUUUAUUCUAGCAUGGAUGCAAACACAUGCAUCAUAGAUUUCUAUGAGAAGAACUUACAAGCACAACAGCUUCAUCUUCAA
rnacentral:misc_RNA from 1 species